rnacentral:lncRNA from 1 species
GAGGAUCGCGAAUUUGCUUGUUCCGCCAAAUCCAGAGUUGAUGGCAACCAAGAGCCCACAAAUCAGUCCAAUUAACAUUAGAGGAAUGAGAUGGAGCAAUAAUAUUGAAAUUAAUCCAAUCCAACAAGGAAGAAGAGAAGCCAAUAGUUUGGUUUGGAUGAUUAACAAAGUCUUCAAAAAAUCAUUAAACAAUUAAUAAAUAAAAUAAAAAUAAAAAAUAAAAAAU